GCCUCCCUCAAGAUGAGUUUUCCCAUGAAGCCCGUUGAAGACUACGACGUUGAUAGGCAAGGUGUGGAAGCACAGUAAUGUGUGAAGCUAACUUGUACUAAUUGGCUGAUUGUCUUGACCAUAUAAUCUGAGUUACUUCAGAU
rnacentral:rRNA from 1 species